rnacentral:rRNA from 1 species
GUGGGGAAUCUUCCGCAAUGGACGAAAGUCUGACGGAGCAACGCCGCGUGAGUGAUGAAGGUCUUCGGAUUGUAAAGCUCUGUUAAUCGGGACGAAAGAGCCUAGUGUGAAUAAUGCUAGGAAGUGACGGUACCGGAAUAGAAAGCCACGGCUAACUACGUGCCAGCAGCCGCGGUAAUACGUAGGUGGCAAGCGUUGUCCGGAAUUAUUGGGCGUAAAGCGCGCGCAGGCGGAUCUGCCAGUCUGUCUUAAAAGUUCGGGGCUUAACCCCGUGAUGGGAUGGAAACUACAGAUCUAGAGUAUCGGAGAGGAAAGUGGAAUUCCUAGUGUAGCGGUGAAAUGCGUAGAUAUUAGGAAGAACACCAGUGGCGAAGGCGACUUUCUGGACGAAAACUGACGCUGAGGCGCAAAAGCCAGGGGAGCGAACGGGAUUAGAAACCCCAGUAGUCC